AGUGCAAUUGCUGGGCCGUAUGGUAAGUGUAUGUUUAGUUUUUUAAGAAACCGUCAAACUCUUUUCCAGAGCGGCUAUACCAUUUUACACCCCACCAGCAAU
rnacentral:pre_miRNA from 1 species